GACCGCGUAGCUCAGUUAGAAGAGCAUUGGGCUAGUAUUCCAAAGGUCGUAGGUUCGAAUCCCGCCGUGGCCA
rnacentral:tRNA from 1 species